UAAACAGAGACUUUGGAAUAAAGCUGAUUCUCUUGCAUGCUCUCGUUGAAUUCUGGAACCUUGAAGAAUUGAUACACAUGAAAACAAUCUUGGAUUGAUCUCCACCAUUUCUUGGUCAUAUAAAUUAAUCCAGUCCUGAUUAAAAGAAACCGAAGCAGAAACAAUAAACCAACAAUUACAAACAAGAGAAAGAAUGGGUUAAAAAGAAUUUUCAUGAUUGUAGACACAGAAAAAAUC
rnacentral:misc_RNA from 1 species